UUGCUCUUUAACAAUUUGGAAAGCUGACUGAUUAACUCUAAGAGUUAAUCAAAUUAAAAGUUCUCAAUGUUUAUCCUUUGGAUAAACACAACACAAACACAUUCAAGUGUCUUGUAUUCGAUUCAAAUCUAAUUUGAAUCACAUUGAGUCCGGCAAACACGUAAUAAGAACUAACCCUUCUUAUUACAACCAAAAACCUUGGUUAGUUGCCAUACAUUAAGACCCUUUCGGGUUGUAU
rnacentral:misc_RNA from 1 species